rnacentral:rRNA from 1 species
UACGUAGGGCGCAAGCGUUGUCCGGAAUUAUUGGGCGUAAAGAGCUCGUAGGCGGUCUGUUGCGUCCGCUGUGAAAACUCGGGGCUUAACCCCGAGCCUGCAGUGGAUACGGGCAGACUAGAGGUAGGUAGGGGAGAAUGGAAUUCCCGGUGUAGCGGUGAAAUGCGCAGAUAUCGGGAGGAACACCGGUGGCGAAGGCGACUUCCUGGCCUGUUCUUGACGCUGAGGCGCGAAAGCUAGGGUAGCAAACGGG